GACGAACGCUGGCGGCGUGCUUAACACAUGCGAGUCGAACGGAAAGGCCCUGCUUUUGUGGGGUGCUCGAGUCGCGAACGGGUGAGUAACACGUGAGUAACCUGCCCUUGACUUUGGGAUAACUUCAGGAAACUGGGGCUAAUACCGGAUAGGAGCUCCUGCUGCAUGGUGGGGGUUGGAAAGUUUCGGCGGUUGGGGAUGGACUCGCGGCUUAUCAGCUUGUUGGUGGGGUAGUGGCUUACCAAGGCUUUGACGGGUAGCCGGCCUGAGAGGGUGACCGGCCACAUUGGGACUGAGAUACGGCCCAGACUCCUACGGGAGGCAGCAGUGGGGAAUAUUGCACAAUGGGCGGAAGCCUGAUGCAGCAACGCCGCGUGCGGGAUGACGGCCUUCGGGUUGUAAACCGCUUUCGCCUGUGACGAAGCGUGAGUGACGGUAAUGGGUAAAGAAGCACCGGCUAACUACGUG
rnacentral:rRNA from 1 species